rnacentral:rRNA from 1 species
AGCCAGACUCCUACGGGAGGCAGCAGUGGGGAAUAUUGCACAAUGGGGGAAACCCUGAUGCAGCGACGCCACGUGAAGGAUGAAGUAUUUCGGUAUGUAAACUUCUAUCAGCAGGGAAGAAAAUGACGGUACCUGACUAAGAAGCCCCGGCUAACUGCGUGCCAGCAGCCGCGGUAAUACGUAGGGGGCAAGCGUUAUCCGGAUUUACUGGGCGUAAAGGGAGCGCAGGCGGCGCGCCAAGUCUGAUGUGAAACCCCGGGGCUCAACCCCGGGCAUGCAUUGGAAACUGCCGGGCUGGAGUGCCGGAGGGGUAAGCGGAAUUCCUGGUGUAGCGGUGAAAUGCGCAGAUAUCAGGAAGAACACCGGUGGCGUAGGCGGCUUACUGGACGGCAACUGACGCUGAGGCUCGAAAGCGUGGGGAGCAAACAGGAUUAGAUACCCGCGUACG